GACGAGGUGGCCGAGUGGUUAAGGCGAUGGACUGCUAAUCCAUUAGCCUGCCCAAGUGGGUUCGAAUCCUGGUCCUUGUCG